UACGAAGGGGGCUAGCGUUGCUCGGAAUUACUGGGCGUAAAGCGCACGUAGGCGGCUUCUUAAGUCGGUGGUGAAAUCCUGGAGCUCAACUCCAGAACUGCCUUUGAUACUGAAGAUCUUGAGUUCGGGAGAGGUGAGUGGAACUGCGAGUGUAGAGGUGAAAUUCGUAGAUAUUCGCAAGAACACCAGUGGCGAAGGCGGCUCACUGGCCCGAUACUGACGCUGAGGCACGGAAAGCGAUGGGGA
rnacentral:rRNA from 1 species